CUAGGGGUAUGAUUCUCGCUUCGGGUGCGAGAGGUCCCGGGUUCAAAUCCCGGACAGGCCCUAUAAUUUUUAAUAAAAUUUAUUUCAACGUUACAAGUUUAUUUAGUGAGUAACAUUCAUCAACACAAAUUAUUUUAAGGUUGUACGUAGUUCAUACACAUAACAGUUCCAUAUUACUCCACAAAUUUAUAAACUUCAAUCCUACUUUCAUGAGCAACAUUACAUCUUGAUAUUGAUUAAUACUUGACCAGUUUUUGAAUGAGACUAUUAAAGAGCGAGAUAUUAUACAUCAAAUUCUCACUUUAUUCAUUUUGAAAUCGACACAUUGCAGUGAUAUUUAUAAAAAAUUAAUUAUUUAUUAAAUUUUUUUAAUUGUAUAUUUUUACAUAAUUUAAUUUUUGUAAAAAUUAUUAACUUACAUUAAUAAAUCAUCUUAGAGCGUAUCGCGGUGGCCGUGACCUAUUUAGAUUAUGUGUUUUUGGUAUUAAGAGUUUAAAAUUAUUAUUAAAUUUAUUUAAAACUUUUUUUCAUAGGUUUGUUAAACCUAUGUGAUAAUUUUGUUUAUUUAAUCAGGUCAUUUCAUAUCAGUUUAUGUAAAAAUUAUAAUCAGUUAGUUGUUGUUCAGCGACGCUCCCUGUGUGAGGUCUUUGGAAGAUGGUGUUUCGAUCAUUUGAUGCAACAUCAUUAAAUAAUUGAAUAUCACAAUCUGUAAAACACUUUUGAAGAACAUUCAUAAUUUUUAUGACCAAAACAUGAUUAUCAGGAAGUCUAUAAUAUGAACCAUAUUAUAGAUGUCAUUCAUUUCCAGAGAAUGAGGAAAAAUUUGAGGGUAAUGUCUACAAAUGGACAUUCAAAUAGACUAAUUUAUAUUCUUUUGAGGUAUCAUUAUGCAAAAUAUAUUUUGUGAAAAGUAAGAAAAUGUUGUAACAAACAUACACCCAAAAAAUAAUAUAAUAAAUACACACAUUAUAUUAAAAGUAUAGCUGUAGAUUAUAUGAUAAUAUAUUAAUACUGAAAAAUAAAAAUAAAAAUGUUCAA